CCUACGGGCGGCAGCAGUGAGGAAUAUUGGUCAAUGGGCGCGAGCCUGAACCAGCCAAGUAGCGUGAAGGAUGACUGCCCUACGGGUUGUAAACUUCUUUUAUAAAGGAAUAAAGUGAGGCACGUGUGCCUUUUUGUAUGUACUUUAUGAAUAAGGCUCGGCUAACUACGUGCCAGCCGCCGCGGUAAUACGGAGGAUCCGAGCGUUAUCCGGAUUUAUUGGGUUUAAAGGGAGCGGAGAGGGGUUGUUAAGUAAGUUGUGAAAGUUUGCGGCUCAACCGUAAAAUUGCAAUUGAGACUGGCAGCCUUGAGUACAGUAGAGGUAGGCGGAAUUCGUGGUGUAGCGGUGAAAUGCUUAGAUAUCACGAAGAACUCCGAUUGCGAAGGCAGCUUACUAGACUGCCACUGACAUUGAUGCUCGAAAGUGUGGGUAUCAAACAGGAUUAGAUACCCCAGUAGUC
rnacentral:rRNA from 1 species